CCUCCAUUGGCGGCCAAAGUAAACCUGAGCUUCAGGGUUUCUGUUAGGGGCUGCAGUGCUUCUGAACGUGGCUGCGUACUUCGUGAAUGCUGGUGCACCCGCAUGCUCGUUCCUGGGUAAGUAUUGGAGCGGUUUACAAGAGUCCACAAAAAGUGUAGACAUACUUCAGGAAAAGAAAUCCAAAUAUCUGGAAGUUAAUGGCCACUGAAUUGUGCAGCUCUUGUAACCAAAGAGGUCACAGGGAAGGUGGAAAAACGUAGACAGCAUACACGCCCCAGUGCUCUGCAGUUGUGAACUCCGUUGGUACCUUGUUAGCUUCCCCGUGUGUAUUUGGCCGAAACGUGACAACACCGCAGCCCUGGUGGCGCUCUGUCCCUGAGUCAGCGACACUCACCCUGAGAACUUUCACAGUCGUUUCUCAUCUCAGAGGCACGCAUGACCGAGGGUCCCACACAAGCACCACUCACACCUCACACGCCGCCCUUGGUUGUUUUCCACCAUGAGUGAGAUGUUUUUGAGAAACCAGUCCGCGGCAGUGUCUUCUGAGCGGCUGAUGAACCGAAGCCCAUGACCCACGUCCAGCGCUGCCCCGGGUUGUCGCGAGUGUCUGCUUUGCUGUGGCACCACGGCAGCCCCGGUUUCUGCUGCAGACCGCACAGCCCACAGAGCUGCAGGUGGUACUGCCUGGCUGCUCCUGUGUGUGCCAACCGCUGAGCCACACCGUCCCUUCUCUGGACCUCACUGUAAAGCUGACUGUACCUCUGAGAUAGAGCUGGCCCCGCUUGGAAACAGACUGCGGAACGGGCAUUCAGAAAGAACCAUUUGUUUGGCUAUUGACUUUAUUCAUCAUUCCAGCAACUUCACUUUUUCUCUCCCUGUAUCACAGAGGAAUCCAUAAAAGACAUCGUAGGAUUGAUACCCACUCAGUGAGUACGCUACUCUGUCAGUAGUCCAUUAGUACUGAGUCACUGAUGGGAUGGGGCUAUUUUCAUUUACUUUUGCCCAGGGAUAUAUUGUACAGUACAGAUAAAAAGGGGACCAUGGAUGCUAUGAGUGGAGCUCACUAUUGUAGAACAUUUUUCUCCUGAACAAACUGUCCAUGAGGCCCCUCGGCAUCUGGGGGCAGAAGGGCCAAGUACACAAGGGUUUCUGCUCCCUCUUCUGGACUUUUGGGGGCUGAAUGUCCCCCCAUGUCAGUUCUCACCCACCCUGGGCAACAGGCGUUCAGCAGGAUCCUGUCCCCUCUCCUCUCCUCACUUAGUUUCCUGGCUUGGAUUCUGGACAGGACUGUGACGCCGAUCUUGGACACCCCAUACGCGUUGUUUUGCCAGCCUUCCUUCUCAUGCCCUUCAUUCUUCAUGUCUUCCAUGAACUUGUUGAUGAACUUCACCAGCUCUUCCUCUGUGAUGGUCUCACUUUGCAGUUUCUGCUGCAGCUCUGGGCUGCAGCCUUUAAGGGCCAUGGAACUCGACAUGCUUGACACAUUCACCACUCUGCCUGAAAUAAGUCACAAGUCCUUAAAGAGAAAGUUGUACACAUGAACCAUGAGAAAAUUUGUUAGAAUUUUAAAGCAGAAAGUUUCUACUUUAUAGACAAUUAGCUUUUGCCUUGUAAAAGAAACACACGUGGAUGGUUACGUUGUGGGAUUACGAGCUCCAUCUCUGCUUCCUUUUUGGCAGGUAGGAGACUCAGGUGACAAUGAAACGAGCUCCCCUUUGAUAAUUUAGUCAGCAGUCUUAGAAGUACAGUAGUAGAACUUUCAGGAAGGACAGGCUGGGAAAGAGGACAGGAAUUGAGGGUAAGCUCUACAUGCCAGUAUUCACAUGACUUAAUUUUUCUAAAAGUAACUGCUUGUGUUUAUUGGUGUGUAUUUAGUGAGUGGCAGUUUGCCUGCUGCCCAAAUUAUGUAAGGAGAAUAUUACUUCUGUUUUAAGUGAAAGAAAUGGGAUGGUUUGUUAUGUGCCGAACAUGGAGCACCUUGAUAGGCAGGUAAAAUGAGCAGACAGGUAGGGAAGAUUAAGGGCAUCCCCGUGGACCGUGCUGAGAGCUCAGCCUUUGUCAUGAGGGAGUCUUGGCAGGCCAAUAGGAAGACAGACGGUGUGCACAGCUCUGGGAACGGAAAGUCCCAGGAAGGGAGGAAGCUUGGGAGCCAUUACAGUUGUGCACUUUCAUAGCUGAGGGUCUGCUGUAAGGCUUGGAUGGGAAGGAUUCAGGAGACACUCAGUGAGCAUGAUCUUUAGAUGUGAUGAGUGACUAGGAGGGGGUAGGGCACGGUGACCACCAUUUUAGGGGUGGGGGUUUUGGGGCAAAGGACGCACACUUUCUGAUAUCGUCUGCUUCUGACUGAAGGAUGUGAGGAGGAGCUGGAGAGCAGGACAAUGAGUAUGUGUGGGAUCUCUGGGAGUGUUGUAGGCAGGUGACAGAUUGAGGGGGGUGGCUGGAGGGAGAGAUGCUCCAGCAGCUUGAAGAAGAUUGCUGGGACAGCAGAGGGGAGCACAGGCAGGAUGGAUUCCCAGGGGCCUGGAAUGUGAGAGCCCCUGUCCAUUGGGAGACCUUUGAACCACGGUGUGAAGGAUAAAGGAAGAGGCAGGUAUGGAAGGAGCAGCAGGACUAGACCAUCAGUGGUACCUGGGAAGUGAGGACAAAGCAACAGAGCUGCUCCUGCAGGGUGGAGACACUGCAAGAUGGCUGGUGCAGUGGCAGCUACAGAGGGAGAGGGAGCAGGGCCUGGAGAGGAGGCCCCAGCAGGCGGGGACAGGUCAGCACCGGACUCACCUUGGGGCCUCAUUAGAGGAAGCAGCUCCUUGCAGACAUUCAGUGUACCAAAAAAGUUUGUUUUCAUUGUCGCUUCUGCUACAAGGUGAAAGGGUGUGGGAUCCCCUUCUUU